AUCCUUUUCCUUGGAGAAACCCAGCAGCUUUCACCUCUUUAGCUUCUCCUCUGUAACGUCAACGAAUCAUAAUCGUGAUCCAUAAAGCUCCAUCAUUUAGUCCAAUAACUAUAUAAUCUAUCUCUUCUCCUCCGAUUUUGAUGAGAAGAAAAUGACGUAGAAUCUAUCUUUUCCAGGUUCUGCCAAUGUCAUCAACUCUAGAUCAAGUCAAAAUGCAAAGACUCUUUAACCAACAACCUCCCAGACCUGUCCGAGGUGGUGGACGAGGUGCUGGUCCUGCUGCGCCUCCUGUGAGAAGACCACGACCUCGACGCUACCCAGAUGUCAGCAUUGCAGAAUUGAUGGCUUCCCCAUCCCGGCUUCAGAUGCCUCUCAUACAUCCUGCAACAACACCAUCACCGCAACAACUUGAUAAGUUUUUUUAUUGAGGCUGUCCCACCUUACAAAGGGCGUGUUUAUGGCCUUGGCUCUGCUCAUUGUUAUUAUGGUGAUUCCACGCCUUCCACCUCAACUGCUAUCCCACGCACAAUGCAAUUGGAGACAAGGGUGACUUCCAUCGAAGGCAACAUGAGUUCCAUGCAAGGUAGCAUCAACUCCAUGCAAGGUAACAUCAACUCCAUGGCCACAGAGAUUGCUGCUAUCAUGGAAGCCUCACGAAUGCUACUGGAGGCAAAGGGGAUUGAUCCAUCAGUUGUCCUCAAAUCAACAACUACUAAUCCAGCGGAGCCAGCGCAGGAAGCAACUCCGGAGCAGCAGUCACCAACUUUAAACCGCCAAACACAAGCUCCUGCUACCACUCCGAUCAACUUGGGGGACAUGGAACCUCAGUCUUUUGGUGGAUACUUUGAGAAUGAUCUCAACCAGUAGCAUUAUGCUUAAUUUUGUUUUUGUAUUAAAUAGGACUAACGGCAUAUAGAGCGUAUGAAAUGCUCUCUUUU